GACAGAGGUGCCGAGCGUUAGGCGGAAUCACUGGGCUUAAAGCGUGUGUAGGCGGGCCGUUAAGUACCUUGUGAAAUCCCCCGGCUCAACCGGGGAACGGCUGGGUAUACUGGCGGCCUUGAGCGGCCUAGGGGCAGAUGGAACAGACGGUGGAGCGGUGAAAUGCGUAGAUAUCAGGAGGAACACCGGUGGUGUAGACGGCUCACUGGACCGUAACUGACGCUGAGACACGAAAGCGUGGGUAGCAAACAGG
rnacentral:rRNA from 1 species